GACGAACGCUGGCGGCGUGCUUAACACAUGCAAGUCGAACGGAAAGGCCCUGCUUUUGUGGGGUGCUCGAGUGGCGAACGGGUGAGUAACACGUGAGUAACCUGCCCUUGACUAUGGGAUAACUUCAGGAAACUGGGGAUAAUACCGGAUAGGAGCUCCUGCUGCAUGGUGGGGGUUGGAAAGUUUCGGCGGUUGGGGAUGGACUCGCGGCUUAUCAGCUUGUUGGUGGGGUAGUGGCUUACCAAGUCUUUGACGGGUAGCCGGCCUGAGAGGGUGACCGGCCACAUUGGGACUGAGAGACGGACCAGACUCCUACGGGAGGCAGCAGUGGGGAAUAUGGCAGAAUGGGCGGAAGUCUGAGGCAGCAACGCCGCGUGCGGGAUGACGGCCUUCGGGUUGUAAACCGCUUGCGCCUGUGACGAAGCGUGAGUGACGGUAAUGGGUAAAGAAGCACCGGCUAACUACGUG
rnacentral:rRNA from 1 species